rnacentral:rRNA from 1 species
UACAGAGGGUGCGAGCGUUGUCCGGAAUCACUGGGCGUAAAGGGCGCGUAGGCGGCCUGAUAAGUAGGGGGUGAAAUCCUGUGGCUCAACUGCAGGGCUGCCUCCUAGACUGUCGGGCUUGAGCACGGUAGAGGCAGAUGGAAUUCCCGGUGUAGCGGUGGAAUGCGUAGAGAUCGGGAAGAACAUCGGUGGCGAAGGCGGUCUGCUGGGCCGUUGCUGACGCUGAGGCGCGACAGCGUGGGGAGCGAACAGG